GUCUGUCCAGAAUAUUGUUGCUGACUGGGAAAUUGAGAAGAUGCAGUAGGUGGACCAUACGAAGGUGGAAGACUUGAUGUCAGUGAUGUAGGAGGUCCUUGUUGAUACGGCAAAGAUUUUUGAGCAGAUGGAAAAGGCAUUGUUGGUACAUUCUUCUCAGAUUGCAAGGGAAACCCUUGAGAAGAAGGAGGUCUCUGUGAUCCAGACAGAGACAUGCUAGACAUUUGAUCUGCAAGGUUAUUUUGAUUAGAUUGUGACAAGGAUAGUCCAUGUUGAGCCUCAGGUGCUUGUCCUUGAACAUCGUUCACAUAGUAUGGCGGCCUUAGAGAUGGAGCAUUAUCUGUGGGUGGUGGACCUAAUGGUGGCUUUUGUGAUGGAAAUGAAUGCGAAUCAGGUGGGCCUUUAGGUGGAUGGUUUGCAUUCAGCUCGCUGUAAGGAGCAUUUGCUUGUGUAGGCCCAUAUGGAGGACGUUGUUGCUGCAUGUACUGCGGAUUCAUGUUUUAUUCUGCAACAGAAAAUUUUGUAUUAAAAAAGUAUGAUUUUAUUUAAAAAAUACACAGUAUAUCUACUUCUAGCAGGUUAAAGUAUACCUGCUUCAAUAAACAAUAAAUAAAGUGUUGUAAGAGAGAAUUUGAAAA